CAGAAAUGGAGGAGGAUGAUGAAGAAUUGGAGAGAAUGAUGCUUUCUAUAUCCCCAUCCAAACUCCAAGGCCAACGGAAAGUGGAGGAGGGUGAAGAAUUGGGGAGGAUGAUGCUACCCACAUAUUCAUCUAAAAUUCCAGGCCAACUGAGUUCAGAAGUUGUUGGAGUCCCAGUGGUCAAAGGUCUUAUUCCUACUGCAUACUAGGGAUGAUUCUGACAUGAAUCAGGAUUAUCUGUUCUACAUUGAUUUGUUGCUGUUUGUUGGUUAGGCCACGUUCAGGCCUGUUCUAAUUCUUGUGUUCAAUUGUUCUACUAACAUUGAAGGCAUUUAUAUCUCAUCAUUGACGGUAAGUACAGAGUUCUUGUUUUGCAUGUUUUUUCCAUGCUAUACUUUAAAGGUUUGGUAUGUACAUGAUUUACAGAGUGAAAGAUGUAAAUCUCCAAAAUGCAGAAGUACAGCAAAAUAACAAAUA